rnacentral:tRNA from 1 species
GUCCGGGUGGCGCAGUGGUUUACGCAACUGCCUAGUAAGCAGGAGAUCCUGGGUUCGAAUCCCGGUGCGGCACA